AUGGAUCUAAUCUGCCAAAACUUUACUCCCCCUGAUGCGGCAGCAAUUAUUAACAUUCCUUUACGGGUGGUAGGCGGUGAGGACACUUUAGCAUGGGCUUUGGAAAGGUCAGGACACUACACUGUAAAAUCGGCGUAUCGAUCUCUCAUGACUCGUAACGAGCUUAGUUAUCUAGAGGAAGGGACGGUAACGGAGGCAUCACCGAACAACAAACAGUUGUGGACUGCCCUUUGGAAGCUCAAUGUGCUACCAAAGAUCAGAGUAUUC
rnacentral:rRNA from 1 species